AUUGAACGCUGGCGGCAGGCCUAACACAUGCAAGUCGAACGGUAGCACAGAGAGCUUGCUCUCGGGUGACGAGUGGCGGACGGGUGAGUAAUGUCUGGGAAACUGCCCGAUGGAGGGGGAUAACUACUGGAAACGGUAGCUAAUACCGCAUAACGUCGCAAGACCAAAGUGGGGGACCUUCGGGCCCCACACCAUUGGAUGUGCCCAGAUGGGAUUAGCUAGUAGGUGGGGUAAUGGCUCACCUAGGCGACGAUCCCUAGCUGGUCUGAGAGGAUGACCUGCCACACUGGAACUGAGACACGGUCCAGACUCCUACGGGAGGCAGCAGUGGGGAAUAUUGCGCAAUGGGCGCAAGCCUGAUGCAGCCAUGCCGCGUGUAUGAAGAAGGCCUUCGGGUUGUAAAGUACUUUCAGCGGGGAGGAAGGCGGUGAAGUUAAUAGCUUCACCGAUUGACGUUACCCGCAGAAGAAGCACCGGCUAACUCCGUGCCAGCCGCCGCCGUAA
rnacentral:rRNA from 1 species